ensembl:lncRNA
AACUUGGGCCCUUUUGGGAGCCAGACACAGAGCCCAGCUGGAACCAUCUGGUCACGUGGGGAAGGAUGGGCCAAUAGGCGAGCGACUUCGGCCCCGCCUCGCGGGAUCUUCCUGGGCGUCAACACUUUCCCGCCUACCCUGGGACCCAGCUCAGGACCAUGGGCAUCAGCCUGUUCUUCCUGCUCUGCCAUGAGGCGCUCCCACCCCCCAGGAUUUUCUUGGAGCCCACGUUUCCGGUAAAGCUCGGGGACUUGGUGAAGUACGAGUGUGUGGGGGCCUACGGCUCAUUGCAGUGCCUCCUACUCCGAGUGGAUCGUCCAGGAAUGAGUCCUAGGGUGGUGUUCCGAGAGGAUGCCAUUUGGGAAGGAAGGGUAGGCUGGUUCUUCAUGGACAACGUCGCCGCCCAGCACACGGGGAUCUACACCUGUGUCUAUUACUUCAACGGGUUCUAUUCCAAGAACAGUAAUGAGCUGCCACUGAUCAUAAGAGGUGAGCGUGAGCAGGGUCCUGGGCAGGGGGCCAGGCCACAUCCCUGCUCCCUGGGGUUCCCGAGGCCCCCCUGGGGCUUGGGGGGCUUCUGCCCAGUCACUGCGCUGGAGGGCCCUCCUCAGUCCCCUCGAGAGUCACCCGUCUGAGUUUCUUCAGAGAAGUGUAGCAUCCAGAACGAGAAAACGCCUGCCCUCUGCCCUGGUCAGGGCCCAUCCAGGUCUGCAGAGAGGCCAGAGGACAGCGGAGUGCUUGAGGCUGGGUGGAAGGACCCACAGGUGCCGAGCCUGCAUUGGAAAAGAAGACGCUGGGGAGAUGGGAGCUGUCUGCCUCCAAGGGGAUGGCUUCCCCUUCCUGGAAGGUCCUCGGGCAGAAACGGGGCUCUCCCAUCUGCUGCCACCCCCCAUCAGCCCAGGAAGGGACGGGCCGGGCCCAGAGCAAUAGACUUGGGCUGGGCCUCUUGGAAGGAGGAACCUCUUAAAAGCCAGUCCCAGGGAAGCUGCACUUCACAUGGCGUCCUCCCCCCCAGACUUGCUGACCCUGUGCUUCCAACACACCCCUUUCCCCUUUCUGUGCCUCAGUUCCCCUCUCUGUAAACUGGGACCAUUAUGAGUCCCUUCUCUCCUUGGGUCUCGGCUCCCCUGACUUGGCUUUGGAAGGUGUGCCUGGGCCUUUUCUGCUUUGUCCAGGGGUGCUGCCCGACAUCCCAGCAUCGAGGCCUGCACCUCCAGGCUGUCCCACCAUCACCCCACGCCUUCCUCCACCCAGCUUAGCCCCAAGACAGGGGAAGGGCCAGGUGUCACAACCCUCUCUCCAGGCCCCAGGGAGAAGGGGCCUGCGCCCCUCAGCUGGCCCCCCACCCCCUGACCUCUGAGUCUCUCCUGCAGAUGUCUUAGAGAGCCCCUUCCUUUGGGUCUCUCCCUCCACCUCAACCUUCUUUGGCCAGAGCUUGACCUUCCACUGUAACUCCACCUUAGCCUUGGACAAGUACUAUUUGUAUCAUGGCUCCAUCGAAGCCGAAAAUCCGUUUAUUGAGUCCCUGAACAGCUCGGCACACGAAGGUCAAUUCUACUACCCAUAUGUGCACAGAUAUGUGCUGGGCCAGUAUCUGUGCAUGGCGUACAACUCCCAGAACCCCUACCUCUGGACGGGCAUCAGUAACAAGUUGCUGAUCACUGCUGGUGAGUGGCGGGCCCGGCGGGGAGACACUUCUGACUGCCGGCUCCAGACCCCCCCAGAGCCACCUUCUCUUUGUCUUCCCAGGAGCCCCUCCUUUCCUGUUUGCUCCCGGGCCUCAUCUCAUCCACAUGGCUCUGACCUCAGCCGCCCUCGGAGAGCUGCUGGCCUAGGCUGGGCUGUAAGGGAUGCUGUGGAGGGCAGCAGCAUCCAGGGGGCUGGAGGUGGUCCCACCCUCACACCUCCCUCCACCCAUCUGUGAAAAGCAGAAUAAAAAGGUGAUUGUCCAUCCGAGCUGUGUGGCU